ACUGUAGGAUGUCAACAGGUCCUGGUCUAGGCCUUACUGUAGGGUGUCAACAGGUCCUGGUGUAGGCCUUACUGUAGGAUGUCAACAGGUCCUGGUGUAGGCCUUACUGUAGGGUGUCAACAGGUCCCGGUCUAGGCCUUACUGUAGGGUGUCAACAGGUCCUGGUCUAGGCCUUACUGUAGGAUGUCAACAGGUCCCGGUCUAGGCCUUACUGUAGGAUGUCGACAGGUCCCGGUCUAGGCCUUACUGUAGGAUGUCGACAGGUCCCGGUCUAGGCCUUACUGUAGGAUGUCGACAGGUCCCGGUCUAGGCCUUACUGUAGGAUGUCGACAGGUCCCGGUCUAGGCCUUACUGUAGGAUGUCGACAGGUCCCGGUCUAGGCCUUACUGUAGGAUGUCGACAGGUCCCGGUCUAGGCCUUACUGUAGGAUGUCAACAGGUCCCGGUCUAGGCCUUACUGUAGGAUGUCAACAGGUCCCGGUGUAGGCCUUACUGUAGGGUGUCAACAGGUCCCGGUGUAGGCCUUACUGUAGGGUGUCAACAGGUCCUGGUGUAGGCCUUACUCUAGGAUGUCAACAGGUCCUGGUGUAGGCCUUACUCUAGGAUGUCAACAGGUCCCGGGCUAGGCCUUACUGUAGGAUGUCAACAGGUCCCGGUCUAGGCCUUACUGUAGGAUGUCAACAGGUCCCGGUCUAGGCCUUACUGUAGGAUGUCAACAGGUCCCGGUCUAGGCCUUACUGUAGGAUGUCAACAGGUCCCGGUCUAGGCCUUACUCUAGGAUGUCAACAGGUCCUGGUGUAGGCCUUACUGUAGGAUGUCAACAGGUCCUGGUGUAGGCCUUACUCUAGGAUGUCAACAGGUCCCGGUGUAGGCCUUACUGUAGGGUGUCAACAGGUCCCGGUCUAGGCCUUACUGUAGGGUGUCAACAGGUCCCGGUCUAGGCCUUACUGUAGGGUGUCAACAGGUCCCGGUCUAGGCCUUACUGUAGGAUGUCAACAGGUCCUGGUGUAGGCCUUACUGUAGGGUGUCAACAGGUCCUGGUGUAGGCCUUACUGUAGGAUGUCAACAGGUCCUGGUGUAGGCCUUACUGUAGGAUGUCAACAGGUCCUGGUGUAGGCCUUACUCUAGGAUGUCAACAGGUCCCGGUCUAGGCCUUACUGUAGGGUGUCAACAGGUCCCGGUCUAGGCCUUACUGUAGGGUGUCAACAGGUCCCGGACUAGGCCUUACUGUAGGGUAUCAACAGGUCCCGGUCUAGGCCUUUACUGUAGGGUGUCAACAGGUCCCAGCCCUGCCAGACAUCACUCGUCUUAUACAA